AACGUAGGAGGCGAGCGUUAUCCGGAUUUACUGGGUGUAAAGCGCGUGCAGGCGGUGGGCUAAGUUGGGUGUGAAAGCUCCUGGCUCAACUGGGAGAGGUCGCUCAAGACUGGCCGACUGGAGAGCAGUAAGGGAAGGUGGAAUUCCGGGUGUAGUGGUGAAAUGCGUAGAUAUCCGGAGGAACACCAGUGGCGAAGGCGGCCUUCCGGACUGCUUCUGACGCUCAGACGCGAAAGCUAGGGGAGCAAACGGG
rnacentral:rRNA from 1 species